rnacentral:rRNA from 1 species
GUAGGUGGCAAGCGUUGUCCGGAAUUAUUGGGCGUAAAGCGCGCGCAGGCGGUUCUUUAAGUCUGAUGUGAAAGCCCACGGCUCAAUCGUGGAGGGUCAUUGGAAACUGGAGAACUUGAGUACAGAAGAGGAAAGCGGAAUUCCACGUGUAGCGGUGAAAUGCGUAGAGAUGUGGAGGAACACCAGUGGCGAAGGCGGCUUUCUGGUCUGUAACUGACGCUGAGGCGCGAAAGCGUGGGGAGCAAACAGGGAUUAGAUACCCUGGUAGUCCACGCCGUAAACGAUGAGUGCUAAGUGUUAGGGGGUUUCCGCCCCCUUAGUGCUGCAGCUAACGCAUUAAGCACUCCGCCUGGGGAUACGGCCGCAAGGCUG